GUAAUGUCUAUGAACGGGAGUAAGUACCGAUAUUUCACCCCUUUGCAGCGAGUCGGCGGCAGUGAGAGCCCGACAGGAAGCAAUAUUGGGAAUGGGCCCGGGAGAUGCGGCCCGAAGUCAGUAGGCGCCGCCGGCGUUCCGUCGUUACGGGAUGAAACACACGCAAGUGUGUGAGCCGGGCUUUGCGCCAACCGGGGUGGUACCGCGGAAACUAUUCCUUUCGUCCCUUUU
rnacentral:ncRNA from 1 species